GCCAGAUAAGGGAAGCAGGCCUCCGAAGCCAGCAGUGGCAACCCACUUGGGUCCCUUUCAAUGCUGUGGAAGCGUUGUUCUUUCACUCUUCUCAAUAAAUCUUGCUGCUGCUCACUCUUUGGGUCUGCCCCGCUGUUAUGAGCUGUAACACUCACAGCCAGUGUCUGCAGUUUCACUCCUGAAGCCAGCAAGACCACAAACCCACAGGGCGGGACAAACAACUCCGGACAGGAGGAAUGAACAACUCUGGACGCGCCACUUCUAUGAACUUUUAUGAACUGUAACACUCACCGCAAAGGUCUGCAGCUUCACCCCUGAGGCCAGGGAGACCACGAACCCACCGGAAGGAAUGAACAACUCCAGACGCACUGCCUUUAAGAGCUGUAACACUUACCACGGAUGUCUGCAGCUUCACUCCUGAAGUCAGCGAGACCACAAACCCAACAGAAGGAAGAAACUCCCGACACAUCUGAACAUCUGAAGGAACAAACUCUGGACACACCAUCUUUAAGAACUGUAACACUCACCGUGAGGGUCAACCGCUUCAUUCUUGAAGUCAGCCAGACCAAGAACCCACCAAUUCCGUCUAUCUGAAUCAUGUUAUUGGACCAUGAGAGCAAGCAGCUGGAUCUCAUUCUGUCCAGCUGCUCACAUGGAUACUACCAGCUUCAUUGUGAAUCACUGAAAAAGAGGACACAAUGCCAAGGAAUCCAAAGAGAAGGCAAUAAUGAUAAAUGCAAGUUAUCACAAAUCUCUAUGUAGCUGAAUAUCAUAUAUUGACAUUUUCUUUUUAGGUAGCACUGGUGGAUCAAGCUUAAAUAUUCCCUUUACUUCUAUAAAGGUCCUUGUCUAUCAUAUGUUGUGUAUAUUGUGAAAUCCACUGAUAGUUUUCUGUGUCCUGCAAAGUUGUAUCUUCAUUAGUCCUGCAUCAGAUAUAAGCUCCUGAUAAUUUUAUUCUGUCAACAUAGUACUCUAUGUGUAAUGAUACAUAACAAAUAAUGUUAAAAUUAAUUUUAAUGAUGGUGAUGAUGAAAUAGAAGAAGACCACAACUAAGGGCACAAUUCUUAUUUAAAAUUAUGUAGGCCGUGAAAAUCUGCCAAUAUUUUAAGCAUAAACCAAAAUAUCAAAAAGUGUUCUUGAUUUAUGGCUAUAUAUAAUUUGCUACAAUUAAUAUAAGAGAAGAAGGCUUUACUAUAUCAGUCUAAAUAAAUAAAUGGAGUUUGACCUUAAAAAGUCAUAUGUUUGGGCCAAAAUUGACUAAAAAUAAUGUAGUUCAAAGAAAGCAAUAUGCAUAAUUGCUUUCAUAUAUCUUUCUAUAUUAAACAAUAAAUAC
rnacentral:lncRNA from 1 species